GAAUAUCGCCGGGCUUUAUCCUCCUCCCAAAGUUCCCGCGAUCGAAGGCCAGCACUCCUCCUCCCGGCUGGUCUUUACAAAACGACACCCACCGCACCUCCUCCCGCGGUGGGUGUUGUUG
rnacentral:sRNA from 1 species